GCCUACGGGGCGCAGCAGUGGGGAAUAUUGCACAAUGGGCGCAAGCCUGAUGCAGCCAUGCCGCGUGUAUGAAGAAGGCCUUCGGGUUGUAAAGUACUUUCAGCGGGGAGGAAGGGAUGGUGCUUAAUACGCGCCGUCAUUGACGUUACCCGCAGAAGAAGCACCGGCUAACUCCGUGCCAGCAGCCGCGGUAAUACGGAGGGUGCAAGCGUUAAUCGGAAUUACUGGGCGUAAAGCGCACGCAGGCGGUCUGUUAAGUCAGAUGU
rnacentral:rRNA from 1 species